GUCAAGAACCUGUCUAAGUCGCUCUGGAUAAGAGCGUCUGCUAAAUGACUUAAA
rfam:Salmo salar isolate Sally breed double haploid chromosome ssa22, whole genome shotgun sequence.